GAUGAACGCUGGCGGCGUGCCUAAUACAUGCAAGUCGAGCGAAUGGAUUAAGAGCUUGCUCUUAUGAAGUUAGCGGCGGACGGGUGAGUAACACGCGGGUAACCUGCCCAUAAGACUGGAAUAACUCCGGGAAACCGGGGCUAAUACCGGAUAACAUUUUGAACCGCAUGGUUCGAAAUUGAAAGGCGGCUUCGGCUGUCACUUAUGGAUGGACCCGCGUCGCAUUAGCUAGUUGGUGAGGUAACGGCUCACCAAGGCAACGAUGCGUAGCCGACCUGAGAGGGUGAUCGGCCACACUGGGACUGAGACACGGCCCAGACUCCUACGGGAGGCAGCAGUAGGGAAUCUUCCGCAAUGGACGAAAGUCUGACGGAGCAACGCCGCGUGAGUGAUGAAGGCUUUCGGGUCGUAAAACUCUGUUGUUAGGGAAGAACAAGUGCUAGUUGAAUAAGCUGGCACCUUGACGGUACCUAACCAGAAAGCCACGGCUAACUACGUGCCAGCAGCCGCGGUAA
rnacentral:rRNA from 1 species